rnacentral:rRNA from 1 species
AUUGAACGCAGGCGGCAGGCCUAACACAUGCAAGUCGAGCGGAUGAAGAGAGCUUGCUCUCUGAUUUAGCGGCGGACGGGUGAGUAAUGCCUAGGAAUCUGCCUGGUAGUGGGGGAUAACGUUCCGAAAGGAACGCUAAUACCGCAUACGUCCUACGGGAGAAAGCAGGGGACCUUCGGGCCUUGCGCUAUCAGAUGAGCCUAGGUCGGAUUAGCUAGUUGGUGAGGUAAUGGCUCACCAAGGCUACGAUCCGUAACUGGUCUGAGAGGAUGAGCAGUCACACUGGAACUGGGACACGGUCCAGAAUCCUACGGGAGGCAGCAGUGGGGAAUAUUGGACAAUGGGCGCAAGCCUGAUUCAGCCAUGCCGCGUGUGUGAAGAAGGUCUUCGGAUUGUAAAGCACUUUAAGUUGGGAGGAAGGGCAGUAAGUUAAUACCUUGCUGUUUUGACGUUACCGACAGAAUAAGCACCGGCUAACUUCGUGCCAGCCGCCGCCGUAACAC